rnacentral:rRNA from 1 species
UGCAUAUCAAAAGCGGAGGAAAAGAAACCAACAGGGAUUGCCCUAGUWACGGCGAGUGAAGCGGCAACAGCUCAAAUUUGAAAUCUGGCGUCUUCGGCGUCCGAGUUGUAAUUUGCAGAGGGCGCUUUGGCAUUGGCAGCGGUCCAAGUUCCUUGGAACAGGACGUCACAGAGGGUGAGAAUCCCGUACGUGGUCGCUAGCCUUUACCGUGUAAAGCCCCUUCGACGAGUCGAGUUGUUUGGGAAUGCAGCUCUAAAUGGGAGGUAAAUUUCUUCUAAAGCUAAAUACUGGCCAGAGACCGAUAGCGCACAAGUAGAGUGAUCGAAAGAUGAAAAGCACUUUGGAAAGAGAGUUAAAAAGCACGUGAAAUUGUUGAAAGGGAAGCGCUUGCAGCCAGACUUGCCUGUAGUUGCUCAUCCGGGUUUCUACCCGGUGCACUCUUCUACGGGCAGGCCAGCAUCAGUUUGGGCGGUUGGAUAAAGGUCUCUGUCAUGUACCUCCUCUCGGGGAGAACUUAUAGGGGAGACGACAUGCAACCAGCCCGGACUGAGGUCCGCGCAUCUGCUAGGAUGCUGGCGUAAUGGCUGUAAGCGGCCCGUCUUGAACACGGACCA